CCUGAUCCCUGACUGCCAUCUGGACUUGGAGGCAGGGUUAGGGAAGAUCCUGCUCCUGGAAGGAGAAAGAUGUGGAGUGGAGAAAAUCUCAGCCACCAGGAAGACAAAUGGGAGGACGGAGCCUUCCCGCCAGGCAGGUGGUGAGGAAGAGUGGGGUAGAGCCAGGCGGCACAGGCAGCAGCCCUUGAUGUGCCAAGGCUGGAGCGUGAACUGGCUCUUGCAAGAAGAGGUCCUUUGAGGACCCUGCGGCUCCAGGACUUUCUGCAGAAUGUGCCACUGAGCUGAUGGGGGGAUGCGACUUGGGGGACGGAACGUCAGCUGCCAUGUCAGUGCCAGGGGCACUAGGCUGGCAAGAGAGCCACCAUUUCUGCCCAAGCACUAGCCAGGGGAUGAUGGACAUUGUGACAAAGAAACAAGGACAGUUGGGUGUGACAGUGACAAUGGGCUCUCUGUGUGCCAUGACAUAGCAGGAAAGGCCAGGCCAGACGGACUGUGGAUGUCUGAUGGCUUUGAGUGAACUCAACAACCAUUGACUAGGUGAAGAAUGGGAAGGGCACCAGCUGAAUCCUGAGGACCAUCAUCUGUUGAGCACCUACUGCCACCGUGUGCUCUGCAUGCGUCACCUCACUUAAUUUUCCCAGCAGCCAUGGCCAGUAAAUGUUAUUGUAUCCCAUUUGACAAGUAGGCAAACUGAGGCUCUGGGAGAUGUAGUAAUUUUCUUUAGUUCAUGCAGCCGUGCCUUACACAAGGGGUGCAGGAUUUGAAUUCUGUGCUUCUGUAACAGGGAUAUUAUCCCUGUGAGGCCACCUAAUAGGAGGCAUGCUGUCAGAAAAGAAAAUUCUGACCAGGCUACUGGCCUCUUUUCUUUCUUUCUUUUUCUUUUCUUUCUUUUUAAAAAAACAAAACAAAACAAAACAAAACAAAGCC
rnacentral:lncRNA from 10 species